UCGCACGUCAUUUUCCUUUAUCUUCAUUGUUUUUACUUUCUCUUUCAGUUUUGCUUUUCUUCCUCAUAGACUUCCAGACAUUCAGACAAGACUUUGUUCUCAAAAACAGUUGUUUUUUUAGCAGACAGAGAAACUAAGAAGAUGGAACCACCUGCAACACAAUCCAUAGAGACUUCCACCAAGAGUUUCCAGGUUGAAGAAGAUGAACAAGACAAAGCUGUUGAUGAAUGUUGUUCUUGCUGCUAUGAGUGCACUGGGAGUAUAUUUGAUUACUUAUGUUGCUGCGAUCUUUGUUAGAAUAUAAAUAUAUAUAAAUUAGAAAGUAUGGGAUAAACAAAGGAUCUAAAUUGAUGUUUCAAAAGAGUACUAGGAAUCUAUAAAACUUCUAUUUGAUUAUUUUGUUUAGAAAAGUAAAUUCAAUUGUUUUUUGAAUUA